GAGUGGCGUACGGGUGCGUAACGCGUAGGCAACUUACCGUUGACUGGGGGAUAGCCCGGGGAAACCCGGAUUAAUACCCCAUAGUAUCAUAGAAGUCUCCUGGCCUUAUGAUUAAAGAUUUAUCGGUCAACGAUGGGCCUGCGUCAGAUUAGCUCGUUGGUAGGGUAACGGCCUACCAAGGCAACGAUCUGUAGGGGGUCUGAGAGGAUAGAUCCCCCACACUGGUACUGAGAUACGGACCAGACUCCUACGGGAGGCAGCAGUAGGGAAUAUUGGGCAACUGGGUGAGAGCCUGACCCAGCCAUGCCCGCGUGCAGGAAGACGGCCCUCUGGGUUGUAAAAACUGCUUUUUAUACAGGAACAAAAAGGGUCCUGCGGGACAGAUUGCGUAGUACUGUAUGAAUAAGCACCGGCUAACUCCGUGCCAAGCAGCCGCGGGUAAAUACGGAGGGGUAGCAAGCGUUUGUCCGGGAUUUAUUGGGUUUAAAGGGUACGUAGGCGGA
rnacentral:rRNA from 1 species